rnacentral:lncRNA from 1 species
UUCAAAUUUCUAUCUUUAGCCAAAUGACUUCAAAAUGACCUACAGACCUCCGAAUUUACUUCCGAUCGCGCUUCCAGCUCCAGAAUCACCAUAUGGAGCUAUUCCCAGUCUCGGAAUCCCAAACGGACAUCGAUAACGCUGAAAUGCACUUCAAGCCAAACUUUAAAAAUUUCUUCCAAGAUGCUAACUUCCAUAAUAGGCGCCAAAACGCUCUCGGGUUAUCCAAAACCCGAACCGAGCAUACGCCCAAGCCUGAAACCAUCAUACGAACCUGCUGAAACCUUCAGAUCUCGAUUCCGAGGUCGUUUACUCAAAAAUCCCGUCUUAGUUCAUUUUUUCAACUUUAAACUUCCGAAAUGAGAAUUCUCUUCCCAAAUCAACUCCGAACUUCUCGAAAUUCAAUUCCGACCACGCGUACAAAGUCAUAACACCUGAAUUGAAGCUACUCAUGGCCUCAGACUGCUGAACGACGCGCUAGGGCUCAAAACGACCGGUCGGGUCAUUACAUUCUCUCCCACUUAAACAUACGUUCGUCCUCGAACAUGCUGAGAAAUGUACUGAAGUAGCCUAAAAUUAUUGUUUAGCACCUAAUGCACCUUCCCGUACUACCACAACUUAGCUGAGCACAUUAGCUCGAUAUAUUUUGAAGAUAUUUCCUUUUAUAUAAGCAAAUACGCCUUAGAGCCCGAUUCCAACAUUCAGAAUUCUAUGUCAGGCCUGAUUGCAACAUACGAUCACCAUAUCAAUCACUACACGCUGUACUCAAA